rnacentral:rRNA from 1 species
UACAGAGGUCUCAAGCGUUGUUCGGAAUCACUGGGCGUAAAGGGUGUGUAGGCUGCGUGUUAAGUCAGAUGUGAAAUCCCGGGGCUCAACCUCGGAACUGCAUCCGAUACUGGCAUGCUAGAGAAUUGGAGAGGAGUCUAGAAUUCACGGUGUAGCAGUGAAAUGCGUAGAUAUCGUGAGGAAUACCAAGUGCGAAGGCAGGACUCUGGACAUUUUCUGACGCUGAGACACGAAAGCGUGGGGAGCAAACAGG